rnacentral:rRNA from 1 species
AUGGGCGACGGCGCCGCCUCCCACCCCACCUGGCGCUACAACGGCGAGGACCGCAUCAGCGCCCUCCCCAACGACCUCCGCGGCCAGAUCAUCACCCGCCUCCCUUUCACGGACGCCGCACGCACCGCCGCCUUCGCCUCCCACUGGCGCCAGAUCUGGCGCACCACCCCGCUCGUCCUGCGCGACACCAAUGCCCACCUCCCUGAGGCUACGCGCGUCGCCACCGUCGCCGGGGCCCUCGCCGGCCACCCGGGGCCCUUCCGCACCGUCAACCUCUUCGGCUGCAGGUCCACCUCCCUGGAUCUCGAGCUCCCCGAGUGGCCGCGCCUCCUCGCCGCCAAGUUCACCAAGAACCUCUCCUUCCUAAACAAGCAAACCCAGCCCCAGACCACCUUGUCACCCCUCCCCGCUGACAUACUCCAGUGCGGCUGCUCCAGUCCCUCUCCUUGGCCUACUGGAAGAUCCCCGACGACCUCCCGCUCGCCGCCGAUGCCUUCCCCAAUCUCCGGAGGCUCGGCUUGGUAA